rnacentral:rRNA from 1 species
UGGCCGCGGGAUUAGAGUUUGAUCAUGGCUCAGGAUGAACGCUGGCGGCGUGCCUAACACAUGCAAGUCGAACGGGAGCCCUUGGAUUCGUCUGGGGGUGAGAGUGGCGAACGGGUGAGUAACACGUAGGUGACCUGCCCCAAAGAGGGGAAUAACUGCUGGAAACGGUGGCUAAUACCCCAUGUGCUCGAUGGUUCGGUCUGUCGAGUAAAGCCCUUCGGGACGCUUUGGGAGGGGCCUGCGGCCCAUCAGGUAGUUGGUAGGGUAACGGCCUACCAAGCCGAUGACGGGUAGGGGGCGUGAGAGCGUGAACCCCCACACUGGCACUGAGAUACGGGCCAGACUCCUACGGGGGGCAGCAGUGAGGAAUAUUGCCCAAUGGACGCAAGUCUGAGGCAGCAACGCCGCGUGGGCGAUGAAGGCCUUCGGGUUGUAAAGCCCUUUUCUGGGGGAAGAGGAAGGACGGUACCCCAGGAAUAAGUCACGGCUAACUACGUGCCAGCAGCCGCGGUAAUACGUAGGUGGCAAGCGUUAUCCGGAUUCACUGGGCGUAAAGCGCGUGCAGGCGGUUUCGUAAGUCGGACGUGAAAGCUCCUGGCUUAACUGGGAGAGGUCGUUCGAUACUGCGGGGCUUGAGGUCGGGAGAGGGACGUGGAAUUCCCGGUGUAGUGGUGGAAUGCGUAGAUAUCGGGAGGAACACCAGUGGCGAAGGCGACGUCCUGGCCCGCACCUGACGCUGAGACGCGAAAGCGUGGGUAGCGAACGGGAUUAGAUACCCCGGUAGUCCACGCUGUAAACGGUGGGUACUA